GGGAUCAGGUAUGCAGCUGUCCAUGCCAUACAAGGACAGACAAGGAGUGGGCUUUAUCUCUGAAAUACCGCCUUAUCAAAUCUCUUGAAGAGUGGGUGGAUGACUCACAGCGUGCCUUUCCUAAAGUGAUGCCAUCAGAUCCUAGAGGACACUGGUACGGACGUCAACGAACGGCAAAUCAACAUGACAACAUCCAGCACCACAGUGAGUCCUCUGUGCAGCACCAGUCCAGCGCCCACCAUCUCAAGUUCCAGGGGGACUUACGACAAUGCAUACUUUUACAUCCUGUUUGUCAUGAUCUUCUACUCCAUCCUUGCCACGACACUUCUCAAGUGCUUAGGCAGCGACGAGGAGCAAAAGGACCCCUACGAGGAGUUCACAAGUACACAAAAAUUCAACACAGGCCACAUGGUGGACAAGUUUUACUUUGAAGAGGAGAGCAGCUUGUGAGCCACGGGCUUUCUAAGC